CUUCUCUGUCAUCAACAUUAAAGUCCUGUUUUUGUCUCUUCAGAAAACCACAUGACAUUUGAGAAUCUUCUCCUCUACUGAACAAAUUUCAGAACCAUCUGGAACACCUCCUUUCCUUCCUUCUUCCCAUCUCCCCAGUCGUCCAUCCUUUUCCUCAAAUAGGAAAGUAUUUUUUCCUUAUUUGGCUUCCUCUUCUUACAUUAUGGAGCUUUUCCAUUUUAUCUUAAUUCUUCAGUUAUUUGCAGGUAUUACCUAUAUGAACACCAACUUAUACACAUACAGAAUAGUUUAAAAUAAGCACUUUGAGAUAAACCCUCUGUGGUAUAUGUUAAAAUUAAGAAUCAAUUUUUCUGCCUUCUAAUUUCAAAUAUUAAUGAGAAGUAAAAAGGCAGAGCUAAUCAAACAGCACUAAUACAACACGCACGAAACUUUGAAAAUCAGCACUGUGUUUUGCCCUCAGCCAGGAAGACCUGUGUCUGCAAAAGAAGCAGUGAAUUAAACUCACAUCUAUAAUCUUUGAAGAUCUUCUCAUAGCGAAAAAAAUGUACACGUCAGCUUCUUACGGCAUAAAACCUGGGGAGAAUAUUAGUCUUUUUUGGCCUAUUUUGCAAAAAAAGGAAAGUAUAGAUAAAAGAAAACGAUACACUGCCCUCUUCAACUAUUCCUUUUCCUUGUCGUAGCUGAUGAAUUUUAGUUUGUUGACACAGACUCUGUAAUACUAACCAGAUAGGUUUACAGAAAAUGAGCUCCUGGUUAAAAUCCUUGAAUAGAGUAUAGUUUCACUUCAAAGUGUGAAUGUUUAAAGGUGAGUUUCUCUCUCACGCACAACACAUUCUCAGCGUGGUAAGUUAGAGAUGCUCGUAACUUGGCAAAUCUGGAUUCCAACCCUGCCCUUGCUCCACAAAUGAGCGGAAGGGCCCACUUUACUGUCUCCUACACAGCACGAGGAAAGAGACUCCUCGUCCAGACCAGGAGCUUCUGACACUUGCCUUUACUGCCCCAUCAUAAAUUCAUAAAGGGGUGUCUGCUGGAACCAGUUGGCGAGUUCACUGCAUAAACAUCAACACCAAUUUAAUGACUUGUGUACACAUCGUAAACUAGAGAAUCUUUAUACAAAGAAAUCAGAUAAAUCAAACAUGAGCUGAGGCUUAGGGGAAGGCAAUUAAAGCUUUACGUUAAGGUGGCUGUGGGAGGGCACUGCGACCCAUUAGAGCAGGUGACAGAGACUGUGCUGAUGUGGCUACAGCCUGUGUAAUUAAGCUAAUUAGAAUAUUAAGUGUGUUUAAAGUGACGUCUCGUCAAAAGAUAAAUAGAUAAGGAAUAUUUAAAACUUUUAAUUUUCUUAUUUUAUGUGUUCAAGGAGUGGGUAAAAAAUGAAUAAACAAAUAAAACCCCUCAAACUUCCUAAGAAGUUGAUAAAAAUAAAAUAGGGAGGAGAUGUAAAAUUGAUUUACUUGCCUCUGGCUAGUAAUGGAGAAAAGGAAUAGCCAGGACAUAAAAACCUAUUUGGCCGUAUUUCAUUUCCCAUAGCAUAUUGAAAUGUCUUGGUGCUAGCCCAAUUCGGUCUAAUACCUGAAUGCCUGGUAUAAAGUACCUUGAAUGUAUUUUGUUUUCCGAGCAAGUAUUUGCAGUCAGUCCCUAAGAAAUGCUUAAACAUCACCUGGUAAUACAAAUCUCAAAAUUACAUUAAAAACACCCAAGGAGAUUUUUGCUGAAUAAAAAUUAGAUGCCUUAUAUGCCAAAGCUUCUCAUCAGCUGAAAGCUGGAAGCUAAAUCUGGCUGUAAGAAACUGUCUUGGAACUUCAGAAAUUCCGGGGCCCGAUUCCGCCCGGUAUCACUUGCAUGCCUUAUUACAUAGGAAAAAAUAGGCCUGUUUCGGUGAUAGCAAGACUCCCAUUUAUUCAUCUCAAAAGCAAUAAGAUCCUAGAAUGGAGCCUCCAUAACACAAAAUGCUUUUAACUUCCCCCUGAGGGGAACACAAUAUACACAAUUUAUGUAAAAAGAAGAAAAAUGAAAGCUAAGUAUUCCAGUUAAGGGUCAGAAAUCAAUAUUUCUUUAACAGCCUAAGCAACAUGCAUUACUCUUAAUACAAAUACGUAGGAGACGUUACAUUCUCCAUAAAGGGGGAUUUCCACAUAACUGGGGUUGAAAGUGGCAGAAUAUGCUCUCCCAACUCAGUUUCCGUUGUUGAAAAAUGAAAAAGAAUACAUUUGGACAGCAUGUCACUGAUCCUUCCAUCCCUGGUUAAAACUUCUUACCUAAAUGUCCUAAAUGUGGGGCAGUGAGUAAUUAAAUUUUAAUACACCUCAAUGGAAUAUGAUAAAGGCAUUGCAAUGUCAGUAUAAAAACUAUGCAGAAAUGGAAAAAAUCUGAACAUAAAAUUUAUUGUAUUGAGAUAAUAAAAAUAUAGUUUUUUUAAUGUAGCAAAAUUUUUUCAUGAUAUUCUAUUUUGUAGUCAAUGAAAACUUAAAAAAACAACCUGUGUUCAUUUCAGUGGCACAAAAAAGUGAUAAGAUACAGUAGGGAGGCAAUAGACCUUAAGAAAUAUACCAACUGAAAGGACUGAGUUGACAGAAAUGAUAUGCUCUAACUAGUUUCUCUAUGUUAACUUUGGCCCUCCCCUAAUCUACUCUCCACACUGGAGUCAGAAUGAUCACUGCAAAGGGCGGACUUAACCUUGUCACUGUACUACUUGACGUGCUUCCGUGGCUUUCUGUUGCUUUCAGGCUAAGAGAUCAAAAUGUUUAUCAUGGCCUUCAAGGCUCCAGAUGAUCUGGGUGGAAGCUUCCAGAGUCAUGUUUCUCUAUUGUCCAAUUGCUAUCUCUCCUCCAUCCACACUACCCUUCCACUUCCACAACUGUAUCAUGCUCUACCCUGCCACAGACCUUUGCAUGUGCUGUAACUGGCUUCUUCCCCUGCACCCUAUCUCUCACACCUCCAUUGCCCACAACUGUCUGCUUCAGAUCUGAAAUUAAUAUAUGCUGACCUUUCUGAUUAGGUUAAUUCCCUCUUAAUAUACACUUGAAAAACACCCCAGGCACUUACCCCACUUGUUCUUUUACCACGCUGUAAGCACCAAGGGUAGCAGCUGCAUCUAAUCUUUUUAUUCACAACUUUAUCUUCAGUGCCUAGCAUAGAGCAUGGCUCAUAAAGGAAGCGCUUCAUAAAUAUCUAUAGGAUAAAUAAUGAGUGUCAAGGUAGAAUUAAGUUUCCUAAAAAAAAA